GUGCUAGCGUCGGCAGCACAUAUGCUAAAAUGUAAAGAUUCGGAGAUUACCAUGGCCCCUGCGCAAGGAUGACACGCAGUUUUGUGAGGCAGUCCAUAUUUCA